GAUGAAGAACGUAGCGAAAUGCGAUAAGUAGUGUGAAUUGCAGAAUUCAGUGAAUCAUCGAAUCUUUGAACGCACAUUGCGCCCUUUGGUAUUCCUUAGGGCAUGCCUGUUCGAGCGUCAUUUACAAAUUCAAGCUCAGCUUGGUGAUGGGUGUCUGUCCCGCCUUUGCGUGUGGACUCGCCUCAAAUGCAGUUGGCGGCUUGUUCCUCGGCUCUAAACGCAGCAGAUUUGCGUCGAGCGUCGUGCGGACGGGCUCUCCAGUAAGCAAACCCCCACAAAUUGACCUCGGAUCAGGUAGGGAUACCCGCUGAACUUAAGCAUAUCAAUAAGCGGAGGA
rnacentral:misc_RNA from 1 species